CAGUCGCCGCGGUAAUACAGAGGGUGCGAGCGUUAAUCGGAUUUACUGGGCGUAAAGCGUGCGUAGGCGGCUUUUUAAGUCGGAUGUGAAAUCCCUGAGCUUAACUUAGGAAUUGCAUUCGAUACUGGGAAGCUAGAGUAUGGGAGAGGAUGGUAGAAUUCCAGGUGUAGCGGUGAAAUGCGUAGAGAUCUGGAGGAAUACCGAUGGCGAAGGCAGCCAUCUGGCCUAAUACUGACGCUGAGGUACGAAAGCAUGGGGAGCAAACAGGAUUAGAUACCCCAGUAGUCCCUGUCUCUUAUCU
rnacentral:rRNA from 1 species